GUGUCGCCCCACCCAUAUUUGUUUCCCCCGCCUUUGACAUUUUGCUCCGAGCCAGCAGGGGACAGUUUGCGUUGAAAUAAACAGAACGGUGGCAACUGCAGCAGCAGAGUAAUAACGCUAUUCCACCUUGAUUGCAUGAGGUGAGUAAAAGUGGUUGUGUAAAUAUCUUAUAAUAUUAAAUGCGAUGUUCGAUCAUUUAUUUAUCCAUGGUACGUUCAAUUUGAAUAAUUAUUGUUAAUAAUUGUUAUAAAUUGCUCAUUUUAUUGUUCUUUGUGGAUUGUAACAGUACACUCUGUACAUGGCUUUAGCUCUUAGGUUUGAUUUUACAGAGGAUGACAUGAUCAGGAGGUGGUGGUGUUCUGUUCUCCUGGACAGCUUCACUCCGCAAAUAGCUCAACCACUGAGGGGAGGAACUUCACCAUUCAAAAGACAGUGUCUUCAGGCAGAGUCCAGCAAAGCAGCUUCCCCUGGAAAUCCUCAGGGAAGUUAUUUUGUCAGCGGGUGACUCUGCAUGUUUGACUCUUUCUCUGGUUUGCAGAUGGUUUAGGGAUGUGGUCACUCAAAAAGUUUUCCGGAAAGCGACACACUUUGCCUGGCUAGAGAUUGUGGCCAACUGGAAGAAUUGUCCUCCUGUCUACCAGAACGAGUUAAGACAGAUGUACAGCAUCAGGGAAUGCUUGCAGUGCAGAGCCCUUUUCAAGUUUAACCCACCAGGGUACAGGGAAGAGGCCGGCGUGGUGAUCUUCUGGGCUUUUGUUUACACAGGAUUUUGUUCCAAGGGCCGUUUUUUUUUUUUUUUUUUUGCGGCAUGAAACACAUUUGUGUGUCCAUUGAAGGGAAAUU